rnacentral:tRNA from 1 species
GUGAGGAUAGCGGAGUGGUCUAAAGGGCCAGACUCAAGGCUCAAUUUCAUCUCAUGAAGCAUGGUAGAGUAUUCUAGUCUCCGAAUGGAGUCGUGGGUUCGAAUCCCACUUCUGACA